CGUUAGAACAUUCGUUUAUAUUACGACGUUCCGUUUAUAUAAAUAUCAACAACGAGUUUUAGAGUUUUUACGCAAAACUUAAACGAUCCCAGCACGUCUACCGUUUUUGACUUUAUCAAUCGAAAAUGUAAUUUAUUUAAAAAUUUAUCACAUAACGUUGUUUUCUAACCCAUUUUCCUUACAGAGGAACUAUUUAACCAGUUUUCUGGCCAAAUAUCUGAAUGACAUUCUCUUUGGAUUAAGACGUUGCGAGUUCACCUGUUCGUUCUCACGGUUUGAGUCACGCGAAUUCGACUCCCCUUACCUAACUUUACUCUUCUGAAUGUCAAGAAGGGAUGGUUCUUCAUACAGAGCAUUUCGUGUAUGUUUGUUUGUUUUCCUACCCCACUUCAGCCUCUCUUGUUUGUUUUGGAGAUCCUCUCUUAUUAUGGUACCGUAUAGUAACCUAUACGAAUCUCCAUUUAUGAAAUACGAGCCUAAAUCGUUCCCCUCUAAACAAGAACACUACAUAAUAUCGAGAAGUAUUAGUUUAACAUUUGCUAACUAUUCGAAUGAAAUUGAUAGGAAACAAAUAUGGUUAACGUCGAACUUAACGAAUACCAUCAGCGAUCCAGCAGGAUUUUAGCUUUGUGGUUAUUUUUCUUCUCGUCACGAAGAGGGAGAGAGAAGAGAGAGAGAGAGAGAGAGCGGAGCUUGGACUGAGUAGAAAUUAACUAGGGCUACCUCCAGUGAAAAUUUAAUAACGCACAACGUCCAUUGGACGGCUAUGGUACACGUCCCCCAUCCAAUAAAUUGAUUACGAGGUUGUCACCUCCAGGGUAAUGCAAGUGGCAGUUUGGGGAACAUCUUUCGGAUAUCCCUGUGUGCCGUCAGUUAGGACCUAACUUUGUACUCUGGGACAUCAGUUAGACCUUAACUUCUUCCAGUUUUUUUUUUUUUCCUUUUUCCUGCUGCUGCUCUGCUGCUGCUGCUUCAAUUUGUUUUCUUAUCGUUUACAUAAAUCGCUGGCGAUAAAAUUGUCGCCGAUUGUUUAUCAAAU
rnacentral:lncRNA from 1 species